ensembl:lncRNA
CUCUGGGCUGUUGUGGUUACAAUGUUGACAGCCGGCUGCCUAUAAAUACAGGCCGGCUGAGCUGUCGCAGUCAGUUGUAUUCCAGCUUACCAUAAUAAAGAGCUACUUGAAGAAAUCGCUGUGCCGGCUGCUAUGUCAACCCACGACUUAACACUGGCGACGAGGAUGGGAUUGAUGGACAUCAGAGCACAGCCAGAUGCGGCCAGCCUCUGAACGGAGCUGAAUCACAGAGCGAAAUCACUGAGCGAAAUCACUGGGCAGAACCAAUUCAGAGCUGACUGUUCUGGCUAGAGCACUGUGUUCCAUCCAUCGCCCUUCACGCCGGCAUCGGAAUCAUGGCUUCACUUGUGCCUCUACCGCCGUUUGCGCCAGCCUCUGAAUCGUGGGACUCCUACCUCGCUCGGUUCGACUGCUACCUCCAAGCCAACGAGCUGACAGCAGUAUCAAAGGAUCGGAAGCGGGGCCUAUUCCUCAGCCUCUGUGGGCCUGAGGUGUUUGAGACGGCCCGAGCGUUGGUUGCGCCUGAAGCAGUCCAGGCAACACCAUGGGACACGAUCCAAGAGAAGCUCCGCAACCAUUACGCACCAAAGCCGUCCAAGAUUGCUGCCCGCCAUGCGUUCUACCACCGGAACCAGGCAGAGGGGAGUCAAUCAACAACUACACCACCGCCCUGCGACAGGCUGCAAUGCACUGUGAGUUCCGAGACUUAGACGAUGCCCUGAUGGAUCGAAUCGUCUGCGGGGUCCGGGACAUCCAUCUGCAACGGCGCCUCCUAGCCAAGCCAGACCUCACGCUACAGAAAGCCAUUGAGGAGGCUGUGGCCUCAGAAGCUGCUGAACGCUCCGCCCAGGAGAUCCGCAAGUCCAGCAGCCCGCGUCUUGCUAGGGAGCCAGGUCUGGUGCACGUCAUCGUCUUCACUGGAGGAUGCCUCCUCACUGCUGGCCUCUUCAUGAUGCACCAGAACUGGCUCCCUAGCAAGACGCGGGCUGCUGGACUUGCGGAUCUCCUGGGCGGAGCGUUCAGCAGCUUCUGAGGCCACAGCCUCCUCAAUGGCUUUCUGUAGCGUGAGGUCUGGCUUGGCUAGGAGGCGCCGUUGCAGAUGGAUGUCCCGGACCCCGCAGACGAUUCGAUCCAUCAGGGCAUCGUCUAAGUCUCGGAACUCACAGUGCAUUGCAGCCUGUCGCAGGGCGGUGGUGUAGUUGUUGAUUGACUCCCCCUCUGCCUGGUUCCGGUGGUAGAACGCAUGGCGGGCAGCAAUCUUGGACGGCUUUGGUGCGUAGUGGUUGCGGAGCUUCUCUUGGAUCGUGUCCCAUGGUGUUGCCUGGACUGCUUCAGGCGCAACCAACGCUCGGGCCGUCUCAAACACCUCAGGCCCACAGAGGCUGAGGAAUAGGCCCCGCUUCCGAUCCUUUGAUACUGCUGUCAGCUCGUUGGCUUGGAGGUAGCAGUCAAACCGAGCGAGGUAGGAGUCCCAUGAUUCAGAGGCUGGCGCAAACGGCGGUAGAGGCACAAGUGAAGCCAUGAUUCCGAUGCCGGCGUGAAGGGCGAUGGAUGGAACACAGUGCUCUAGCCAGAACAGUCAGCUCUGAAUUGGUUCUGCCCAGUGAUUUCGCUCAGUGAUUUCGCUCUGUGAUUCAGCUCAGUGAUUCAGCUCAGUUCAGAGGCUGGCCGCAUCUGGCUGUGCUCUGAUGUCCAUCCAUCCCAUCCUCGUCGCCAGUGUUAAGUCGUGGGUUGACAUAGCAGCCGGCACAGCGAUUUCUUCAAGUAGCUCUUUAUUAUGGUAAGCUGGAAUAGAACUGACUGCGAACAGCUCAGCCGGCCUGUAUUUAUAGGCAGCCGGCUGUCAACAUUGUAACCACAACAGCCCAGAGUUCCCGCCUAAAAUAACUGCCGCGGACCUGAGUGAAAACUAUCUACAGACCUGAGUGAAAACUAUAUACAGUAUCCCCCUGUUGGCCCAGGGUGCUUACCAUAAUAAAGAGCUACUUGAAGAAAUCGCUGUGCCGGCUGCUAUGUCAACCCACGACUUAACAGCUCCCUAGACUGGAUGGGUGGAGCGUCCCUUACUGUGGACGGGAUGAAAUUCCCUCUUGAGGAGCAGCUAUGUAGCUUGCAGGUUCUUAUGGAUCCCUUGCUGUUGCUUGAGGCUCAGGUGGCCUCCGUGGCGCAGAGUGCCUUCCAUCAGCUUUGGCCAGCAGCCCAGCUAUGCCCCAAUUUGGACAGGGAUAGCUCCACUUCUGUUGUCUGUGCUCUGGUCACCUCUAGGUUAGAUUACUGCAUUUGGAGACAGUUUGGAAACUGCAGCUGAUGCAGAUUUCAGCAGCCAGCAGGGCUGAGCAGGGCAGGACAGUCUGAACAUUUAGCAGCUAUCCUGGCUCGACUGCACUGGCUAUCACUUAGUUUGCAGUGCUGGUUUGACUUACAACCCAUGAUACAGCCUUGACGUAUAAAGUCUCAGGACUCCAAUGCCUCUAGGGCUGCCUCUGCCCACAUAAACCAGCCUGGACACUGCAGCCACCAUCGGAGCUCCUCCUUCAUGUGCCCUCUCUGAAGGAAGUGUUAAAGAUGGCGGCAUGCGAAUGGGACGUUUCAGUGGUGGCUCCCCACCUGCAAAAGGCUCCUUUCCAGGAAGCACAUCUGGGACCAUUGCUGGGUAAGCUUAUUUGUCCAAAUUUAAUUUGGAGGGUCACUGAAAGCAAGGGUAGGACUUGUUCCCUUUAAACAUAUUGUCAGAUGAAUAUUUUAGUUUUUUUGCUGUUUGCAUCUGAUUUUUAUGACUUUGUCAUUUUAUUUUUGCUUCCCUUGAUUGCA